CCACUGCAGAGAGGAGGAGGUUAUCGCUGCUCUGUGAAGCCAGCCUAACGCGGUGCCCUCCGAUCUAAGGACGGAGAAGCCUCUGCCUUCGUAAAGACUCCACCGCCCAAACUCACCACUUGGAACGGGCAGGCCAGAAGAUAGCACUCAAAGCCCAACCAUCAAGGCAAACCCAAUUGUUCCACCAUCUUAAUGCUCCCACUUGGGUCACAGGCUCGCGCCACCAAGCCCAGCGAGCAACUAUUCUAGCUAGGGGCUUAUUAAGAGAGAAUAAUUUUCAUCUGGUUCCGAUGUGGGAAAUUCUACGAGGACAAAAAGUGGAGCGGUGAGCUGUGUGCAUCGUUGCUGAUGGAUCAGUUGCUUAGCCCCUGAUGCUUCUCUCCAAAUCCACCUACUAUGAUCUCCAACUUGCGAGGGAGGAGAUGAGGAAAGAGCGGCCGCAUUAUUUGGAACCAUGGGUACUAUAUAUGUAAAAUUUUGCAGUUUUGAUCAUAUAUUGAGUUUAGGGGAAAUUAGGGUUGUGAUUUGAGAUUAUACUUUUUUUUUUUUUUUUCAUUCUAAUUUGAGUGCAAUUUGAUCCUUUUAUGGAUAAAUAAUGUAGGCAAUUUUACACUUUACAUAGAGGCAAUUGGUGGAAGAGUAUCAGCGAGCUCUUUCUGCAGCAAAUCUUUUAAAAAUUCAUCCUUUUUGUGAACCAUUUGCCACUUCAAUUUAGAAAGAUGAAUUUUGCUAAA